UAAGGAAUAUUGGACAAUGGUCGCAAGACUGAUCCAGCCAUGCCGCGUGCAGGAUGACAGCCCUAUGGGUCGUAAACUGCUUUUGUACGGGAAAAAACCUCUUUACGUGUAAAGAGCUGAUUGUACUGUAAGAAUAAGGAUCGGCUAACUCCGUGCCAGCAGCCGCGGUAAUACGGAGGAUCCAAGCGUUAUCCGGAUUCAUUGGGUUUAAAGGGUGCGUAGGCGGAAUGAUAAGUCAGUGGUGAAAGCCUGUUGCUUAACAACAGAACUGCCAUUGAUACUGUCAAUCUUGAGUACAUUUGAUGUGGGCGGAAUGUGUCAUGUAGCGGUGAAAUGCUUAGAUAUGACACAGAACACCGAUUGCGAAGGCAGCUCACAAAACUGUAACUGACGCUGAGGCACGAAAGCGUGGGUAUCAAACAGGAUUAGAUACCCCGGUAGUCC
rnacentral:rRNA from 1 species